UAUGCCUUCUCCUGAAGAAAUGUGGAGAUACAAUUUGAUUGCAACAAAAUAAUUCUCACACAAAACAGUAGUUUCGUAUUACCACUCAAUUUCAAAAUGACUUACAACUGCAAACUGUUCUAAGCAAUUCAGAACUACUUCUCACUUCAUCCAACAAAUUUCAUAGUUAAUGGCACUCUGUGGUUAAGAAAAACUAUCGUACAUAGGAUAUAAGAGCCUCAGUUAAACAAAUAACGAUUUUAUUUAAGAUAAUACCUAUUUCAGAGUACGUAAAAUCAAGUAUUAUCCUAGUACUUCUGCCACAAAGA
rnacentral:misc_RNA from 1 species